CCUACGGGUAGCAGCAGAGAGGAAUAUUGGUCAAUGGACGAGAGUCUGAACCAGCCAAGUAGCGUGAAGGAUGACUGCCCUAUGGGUUGUAAACUUCUUUUAUAUGGGAAUAAAAUGUUCCACGUGUGGGAUUUUGUAUGUACCAUAUGAAUAAGGAUCGGCUAACUCCGUGCCAGCAGCCGCGGUAAUACGGAGGAUUCGAGCGUUAUCCGGAUUUAUUGGGUUUAAAGGGAGCGUAGGUGGAUUGUUAAGUCAGUUGUGAAAGUUUGCGGCUCAACCGUAAAAUUGCAGUUGAAACUGGCAGUCUUGAGUACAGUAGAGGUGGGCGGAAUUCGUGGUGUAGCGGUGAAAUGCUUAGAUAUCACGAAGAACUCCGAUUGCGAAGGCAGUUCACUGGACUGCAACUGACACUGAGGCUCGAAAGUGUGGGUAUCAAACAGGAUUAGAUACCCCAGUAGUC
rnacentral:rRNA from 1 species